rnacentral:rRNA from 1 species
GACGUAGGGCGCGAGCGUUGUCCGGAUUUAUUGGGCGUAAAGAGCUCGUAGGCGGCUUGUCGCGUCGUUCGUGAAAACCCGGGGGCUCAACUCCGGGGCUUGCGGUCGAUACGGGCAGGCUAGAGUUCGGUAGGGGAGACUGGAAUUCCUGGUGUAGCGGUGAAAUGCGCAGAUAUCAGGAGGAACACCGGUGGCGAAGGCGGGUCUCUGGGCCGAUACUGACGCUGAGGAGCGAAAGCGUGGGGAGCGAACAGG